AGCAGUGAGGCUUAGUGGAUAGAGCACGGGCCUGGGAUUCCGAAGGACCUGGGUUCUAAUCCCAGCUCGGCUA
rnacentral:tRNA from 1 species